UACGUAGGGUGCAAGCGUUGUCCGGAAUUAUUGGGCGUAAAGAGCUCGUAGGCGGUUUGUCGCGUCGAAUGUGAAAACCCGGGGCUCAACUCCGGGCCUGCAUUCGAUACGGGCAGACUAGAGUUCGGUAGGGGAGACUGGAAUUCCUGGUGUAGCGGUGAAAUGCGCAGAUAUCAGGAAGAACACCAACGGCGAAGGCAGCUCGCUGGGACGGUACUGACGCUGAGACGCGAAAGCGUGGGGAGCGAACAGG
rnacentral:rRNA from 1 species